rnacentral:rRNA from 1 species
GACGAGUGGCGGACGGGUGAGUAAUGUCUGGGAAACUGCCUGAUGGAGGGGGAUAACUACUGGAAACGGUAGCUAAUACCGCAUAACGUCGCAAGACCAAAGAGGGGGACCUUCGGGCCUCUUGCCAUCGGAUGUGCCCAGAUGGGAUUAGCUAGUAGGUGGGGUAACGGCUCACCUAGGCGACGAUCCCUAGCUGGUCUGAGAGGAUGACCAGCCACACUGGAACUGAGACACGGUCCAGACUCCUACGGGAGGCAGCAGUGGGGAAUAUUGCACAAUGGGCGCAAGCCUGAUGCAGCCAUGCCGCGUGUAUGAAGAAGGCCUUCGGGUUGUAAAGUACUUUCAGCGGGGAGGAAGGGAGUAAAGUUAAUACCUUUGCUCAUUGACGUUACCCGCAGAAGAAGCACCGGCUAACUCCGUGCCAGCAGCCGCGGUAAUACGGAGGGUGCAAGCGUUAAUCGGAAUUACUGGGCGUAAAGCGCACGCAGGCGGUUUGUUAAGUCAGAUGUGAAAUCCCCGGGCUCAACCUGGGAACUGCAUCUGAUACUGGCAAGCUUGAGUCUCGUAGAGGGGGGUAGAAUUCCAGGUGUAGCGGUGAAAUGCGUAGAGAUCUGGAGGA